AACAUUUAGUUUCUGUAUCAGUAAGUAGUGUGAUAUUCUUAUUGGAUUAGUGUAGCUCACCAUUUCAUUAACUAUUUCAGAUCAAGAGGAUCAAGAUCCAAAUCCCGAUCAACAAGAGAGUUGUGAACAAGUUCACCAUCCGAACUCCCUUCAAAAGUUAGUGAAGGUCAUCCUAGAAUACUCAAUUAUAGAUUUUUUUGUUUAUUUCCUUAAUUUUCGUAAUUUCUUUUAGAAUGGACAUUCCUGUAAACCGAUU
rnacentral:lncRNA from 1 species